CCUACGGGAGGCAGCAGUGAGGAAUAUUGGUCAAUGGACGAAAGUCUGAACCAGCCAAGUAGCGUGAAGGAUGACUGCCCUAUGGGUUGUAAACUUCUUUUAUAAGUGGGUAAAAGGAGACACGUGUGCCUUUUUGAAAGUACUGUAUGAAUAAGGAUCGGCUAACUCCGUGCCAGCAGCCGCGGUAAUACGGAGGAUCCGAGCGUUAUCCGGAUUUAUUGGGUUUAAAGGGAGCGUAGAUGGGUGGUUAAGUCAGUGGUGAAAGCUUGAGGCUCAACCGUAAAAUUGCAAUUGAUACUGGCCGUCUUGAGUAUAGUUGAGGUAGGCGGAAUGCGUGGUGUAGCGGUGAAAUGCUUAGAUAUCACGCAGAACCCCGAUUGCGAAGGCAGCUUACUAAACUGUGACUGACAUUGAUGCUCGAAAGUGUGGGUAUCAAACAGGAUUAGAUACCCCAGUAGUC
rnacentral:rRNA from 1 species